GGCCUCCCGGGGGGUGGAAAGACCCCCUUUAGCAGGAUGAGCCCGCGGCCUAUCAGCUGGUUGGUGGGGUGACGGCCCACCAAGGCCACGACGGGUAGCCGGACUGAGAAGGAGACCGGCCACACUGGGACUGAGACACGGCCCAAACUCCUACGGGAGGCAGCAGUGGGGAAUAUUGCACAAUGGGCGCAAGCCUGAUGCAGCGACGCCGCGUGAGGGAUGACGGCCUUCGGGUUGUAAACCUCUUUCAGCAGGGAAGAAGCGCAAGUGACGGUACCUGCAGAAGAAGCAUCGGCUAACUACGUGCCAGCAGCCGCGGUAAUACGUAGGGUGCGAGCGUUGUCCGGAAUUAUUGGGCGUAAAGAGCUCGUAGGCGGCCUGUCGCGUCGGAUGUGAAAGCCCGGGGCUUAACCCCGGGUCAGCAUUCGAUACGGGCAGGCUAGAGUUCGGUAGGGGAGAUCGGAAUUCCUGGUGUAGCGGUGAAAUGCGCAGAUAUCAGGAGGAACACCGGUGGCGAAGGCGGAUCUCUGGGCCGAUACUGACGCUGAGGAGCGAAAGCGUGGGGGAGCGAACAGGAUUAGAUACCCUGGUAGUCCACGCCGUAGACGUUGGGGCACUAGGUGUGGGCGGCAUUCCACGUCGUCCGUGCCGCAGCUAACGCAUUUAGUGCCCCGCCUGGGGAGUACGGCCGCAAGGCUAAAACUCAAGGAAUUGACGGGGGGCCCGCACAAGCGGGCGGAGCAUGUGGCUUAAUUCGGACGCAGCGCGAAGAGCUCUUACCAAGGCUUGACAUACACCGGGAAGACGGCUGGAGGAUGGGCUGCUCCUCUUGGUGGUCGGUG
rnacentral:rRNA from 1 species